AUUGAACGCUGGCGGCAUGCCUUACACAUGCAAGUCGAACGGCAGCGGGGGAGAAGCUUGCUUUUCCUGCCGGCGAGUGGCGAACGGGUGAGUAAUACAUCGGAACGUGCCCUGUAGUGGGGGAUAACUAGUCGAAAGAUUAGCUAAUACCGCAUACGACCUGAGGGUGAAAGUGGGGGACCGCAAGGCCUCAUGCUAUAGGAGCGGCCGAUGUCUGAUUAGCUAGUUGGUGGGGUAAAGGCCUACCAAGGCGACGAUCAGUAGCUGGUCUGGGAGGACGAUCAGCCACACUGGGACUGGGACACGGCCCAGACUCCUACGGGAGGCAGCAGUGGGGAAUUUUGGACAAUGGGCGAAAGCCUGAUCCAGCAAUGCCGCGUGUGUGAAGAAGGCCUUCGGGUUAUAAAGCACUUUUGUCCGGAAAGAAAUGGCUCUGGUUAAUACCUGGGGUCGAUGACGGUACCGGAAGAAUAAGGACCGGCUAACUACGUGCCAGCCGCCGCCGUAA
rnacentral:rRNA from 1 species